rnacentral:rRNA from 1 species
GACGAACGCUGGCGGCGUGCCUAAUACAUGCAAGUAGAACGCACAGUUUAUACCGUAGCUUGCUCCACCAUAAACUGUGAGUUGCGAACGGGUGAGUAACGCGUAGGUAACCUGCCUGGUAGCGGGGGAUAACUAUUGGAAACGAUAGCUAAUACCGCAUAAUAUUGAUUAUUGCAUGAUAAUUGAUUGAAAGAUGCUAUUGCAUCACUACCAGAUGGACCUGCGUUGUAUUAGCUAGUAGGUGAGGUAACGGCUCACCUAGGCGACGAUACAUAGCCGACCUGAGAGGGUGAUCGGCCACACUGGGACUGAGACACGGCCCAGACUCCUACGGGAGGCAGCAGUAGGGAAUCUUCGGCAAUGGACGAAAGGCUGACCGAGCAACGCCGAGUGAGUGAAGAAGGUUGUCGGAUCGUAAAGCUCUGUUGUAAGAGAAGAACGGGUGUGAGAGUGGAAAGUUCACACUGUGACGGUAUCUUACCAGAAAGGGACGGCUAACUACGUG